UUUUAAUUAAAUGAAACUCAGGACUUUUCCUUUCCCUUUUUGUUGUCUCUCUCUCUCUAGCUCCAUUCUCUGCAAUUUGAGACGCGUUCUCUCCUCCAUUCUCAGACUUCUCUUUUCCAUUCUCAGACAAUGGCGUUCUCUCCUCCAUUCUCCUCUUCUCUCCGUCGUCUCGUGCCUAGAAGCCCAUUAAAGCUUUAGAACGCCCAUAUGAUUCCAAACGUUUAACCCCAUUAAAGCUUCCAAACCCUAACCCCGUCGUCUCCCUGAUUUGUCUUCAAAGCCAACACUAAUUUUCUCAAGCACCGUUGCAGAUAACAGUGCAUUAAGUGCAUAUGUGACUUGUUUGAUUCAAAUCUUCGAGAGAGAGGAUGAGAUCAAGAAGAGGGAGAUGGUGCUUCACAAGAGAAAUGAUGAGAUUGAGAAGAGGAAGUUGGCUAUCCACGAUGAUCAAAUUGAUCUUCUGAUGAAACAAGUAGAAGUGCAGUGUUCACACACACUACUUCAUGUGUAUUGGAGAUUUGCCGUAGUUAUUUCAUGUUAUUUAAUAAGAUCUAAGUGAAUUCCCAAUGUUGGUUUGCUUUUCGUAAAUAAAACUCUACCAAGUGGACAGGUUAUGUAAUAGAUGGGUAAGGUUAUCGAAAGAAACUAUUAGGUUAUGUAAGUUGUGUUGUUUGUUGGUGGAAAUCUAAUGGAAAUUUAUUUUAAAAAUAAGCACAAUGAUCAUGACCGAUUGUUAUGUUAUCCUUAUCUCUUUAGCAAAUUAUUGGCACUAAUUAA